CUCAAAAUCCACCAUGUUUUUGCGGACACUUCGUUGACUGAACGAAGUAUAGGAGCAAGUCCUCCAGUUAUUAUACAGCUCAGUGGCACAACCUAGUUAUUUUAAACUUGGCGCGCUGGAAAGUGUACUGCACUUCCGACGGAAGUUUCCAGUGAAACAUAAAUUAGAUUCCAGUUCAUUUCGCGGUCAAAUCCAAGAUGGCGUUUCAAGAUUUGGUUUCUAGUUGGGAAUCUUGUCAGACUGAAAUUUGAGGACAGUACAAAUGAAUUCGGUAUUGAACUAUUCAAGCUUUAUAGAAGG